CCUCUCUUUGCCACGCGCAGGCUCGAACCAGCAUUCCUGGGCUACAGUGUCACUCUCUCAAUUGUUCUCGCUUUCCUCUCAAUCAGAUCCGAUCUAAAGAACGGAGUUUGGAGUUUGGACAUAGGAGUUUGUUGUCUGCGAAGAAGUUGGAGAUGGGUCGUGGAGUCUGCAGUGGUGGGGGACAGAGUUCGCUAGGUUACUUGUUGGGAGUGGAGAGGCUCCAAAACUGGCCCCAAGUAAUACCCAAGCUGCUCCAAAGGAAGAGCAGCCUACUGCCAUUUCUCAACCAUUGACGCUAACAAGCAGAUUCCUGCAGGCAUAAAUAAUAACCCCAAAAACUACUACUACCGGGCAGAUGGCCAGAACAAUGGAUUGGCCCUCAACUAAGGUCCAUGCUGUUCCUGGGGGUGGAUCUUUUCUGGGCUACCUCUUGUGUGUUCUUGUUUGAAAGAGGUAUGCUUUUAUGAACAACAGUUGGAGUGGUUGUUGGUGGGGUUAUUCUGCUGAAUAUUUAAUGUUAGAUGCAUAAACAUUAAAUAGCUGCUACAAAUCUCAGUGACAUAAAAGCAGUAACAGCUAAAAAGAGUUACAUUCCAUGAUGAAUAUUUUUUUCUCAAUUGUUAAUUUUUUGAUCAGGAGAUUGUUUCCUAUUAUUAUCUUUCCAUUUUUCCCUUUC